CUAGAUCUAGUUAGUCUAGUAAACAGUAAGUGUACAGACUACAGUAAGUAGUAAGCUAAGAGAUUUGACCCCCGAGACACGACGAGAGGUAUGAUAAUAAUAUAAUAUUGUCAUAUAGAAUCUAACUAUCUAUCUAUAUAACUUUGUUACUUUAGUUUAUUAACUAUCUUAGUAUCUACUAUAAUCUAGACCUAUCAAGUCCUAGACUGAGUACU